AUACGGAGGAUCCGAGCGUUAUCCGGAUUUAUUGGGUUUAAAGGGCGCGCAGGCGGCCAUUUAAGUCAGCGGUUAAAUCGUGGGGCUCAACCCCAUUCUGCCGUUGAUACUGGGUGGCUUGAUUGCGGUCGAGGUUGGCGGAAUUCGUUGUGUAGCGGUGAAAUGCAUAGAUAUGACGAAGAACACCGAUUGCGUAGGCAGCUGACCAGACCGCAAAUGACGCUCAUGCACGAAAGUGCGGGGAUCGAACAGGAUUAGAUACCCUGGUAGUCCGCACAGUAAACGAUGAAUACUUGUUUUCGGCGAUAUAAUGUCGGAGGCAAAGCGAAAGCGAUAAGUAUUCCACCUGGGGAGUACGCCGGCAACGGUGAAACUCAAAUGAAUUGGCGGGG
rnacentral:rRNA from 1 species